UUUUUUUAUAGUUACAUAGGUUGUUGUACGUAAAGCAGAACUGAUUUGAUAACUGUUAUUUUUAUUGACUGUUGACAAUUUCAAGAUAUUUUUUUUUUUUUUGAUUAUAUAACUUUUUUGUUAUCUUUAGGCCAAUUUGCACAGACUACAGCUGUAUCUACCUCUUGUACUACACCUGUAUCUACCUCUUGUGCUACACCUGGGUGUUAUAACAUCAUAACCACAUCUACGGCCAACUCUAAGAUCACCUUAUUUUGUUUGGCAGUGUUCUGGAAUCAAGUUAUGGCAAUAUUUUAUGUAUAAAAUCUAACAAUUACAUUAAAAAAGUGCUUAUUUUUGACAAAAACUUGUAUUUUCUUAAGGGUUAGAUGGUGUUUCAUUACCCCCUCUGGCUCCCAAGAUACACCCUAC